UGCCAUUAUUGAAAGAGAUUGUGAUAUCUCACAUCUCAAAAUAGGGCUACUUAAUGUUAGAACCCUCACUUCCAAGGCAGUUAUAGUCAAUGAACUAAUCAAAUCAAAUCAAAGUUUAUUUGUCACGUGCGCCGAAUACAACAGGUGUAGACCUUACAGUGAAAUGCUUACUUACAGGCUCUAACCAAUGGUGAGAAAAAGAAGAAGAAGAAAAAAAGUUGUGUGUAGGUAAGUAAAGAAAUGAAACAGGAAAAAGACAUUUGAAAAUAAGAGUAGCAAGACUAUAUACAGACACCUGUUAGUCAGGCUUAUUGAGGUAGUAUGUACAUGUAGGUAUGGUUAAAGUGACUAUGCAUAUAUGAUGAACAGAGAGUAGGAGUAGCGUAAAAAGAGGGUUUGGCGGGUGAUGGGACACAAUGCAGAUAGCCCCGGUUAGCCAAUGUGUGGGAGCACCGGUUGGUCGGGCUAAUUUAGGUAGUAUGUACAUGAAUGUAUAGUUAAAGUGACUAUGAAUAUAAGAUGAACAGAGAGUAGCAGCAGCGUAAAAGAUGGGUUAGGGGGGGCACACAAGACAUAUAGUCCGGGUAACCAUUUGGUUACCUGUUCAGGAGUCUUAUGGCUUGGGGUAAAAACUGUUGAGAAGCCUUUUUGUCCUAGACUUGGCACUCUGGUACCGUUUGCCAUGCGGUAGUAGAAAGAACAGUCUAUGACUGGGGUGGCUGGGGUCUUUGACAAUUUUUAGGGCCUUCCUCUGACACCGCCUGGUGCAGAGGUCCUGGAUGGCAGGCAGCUUUGCCCCAGUGAUGUACUGGGCCGUACACACUAUGUCAUGUAUUGUCAUGUUGUGUCUUGUUUCUGUCCUUUCUCUUCACCCUGUCUCCCUCUGCUGGUCGUUUUAGGUUACCUUUUCUCCCCCUCUUUCCCCCAGCUGUUCCUUGUCUCCUCCUAACUACCUCGUCACCCCUUUUCCCACCUGUUCCCUUUUUCCUUCUGAUUAGUCCUCUAUAUCUCUCUCUGUCUCUCUCUGUUUUUGUUUCUGUCUUUGUCGGAUUCUUGUUUGUGUUAUUCAUGCCUGAACCAGACUAUCGUCAUGUUUGCUGCAACCUUGUCCUGUCCUGUCGGAAUCUGCCUGUCCAUCUGAGCCUACCUAUGUUUUGUUAUUAAAGAAGCUCUGUUUACGUUAAUUCGCUUUUGGGUCCUCAUUCACGCACCGUAACACACUACCCUCUGAAGUGACUUGCGGUCGGAGGCCGAGCAAUUGCCGUACCAGGCAGUGAUGCAACCGGUCAGGAUGCUCUCGAUGUUGCAGCUGUAGAACC
rnacentral:lncRNA from 13 species